GCUGGCGGCGUGCCUAACACAUGCAAGUCGCACGAGAAAGUGGAGCAAUCCAUGAGUAAAGUGGCGCACGGGUGAGUAACACGUGAAUGAUCUACCUCCGAGUGGGGAAUAACCUAGAGAAAUCUGGGCUAAUACCGCAUAACACUUACGAGUCAAAGCAGCAAUGCGCUUGGAGAGGAGUUCGCGGCCGAUUAGUUAGUUGGCGGGGUAAUGGCCCACCAAGACGAUGAUCGGUAUCCGGCCUGAGAGGGCGCACGGACACACUGGAACUGAAACACGGUCCAGACUCCUACGGGAGGCAGCAGUGGGGAAUUUUGCGCAAUGGGGGAAACCCUGACGCAGCAACGCCGCGUGGAGGAUGAAAUCCCUUGGGAUGUAAACUCCUUUCGAUCGGGACGAUUAUGACGGUACCGGAAGAAGAAGCCCCGGCUAACUUCGUGCCAGCAGCCGCGGUAAUACGAGGGGGGCAAGCGUUGUUCGGAAUUAUUGGGCGUAAAGGGCGCGUAGCGGUUUGACAAGUCUGAUGUGAAAUCUCUGGGCUCAACUCAGAGUCUGCAUUA
rnacentral:rRNA from 1 species